GCCUUAAAUAGGAUGAAAACCCUUGUUUUGAAAAUAUUUACCUUGAGUUAGGUUGAGAAUAAUUGUAUGGUAUUGAAAAGGUUUAAGUUUAGGGUUGUUUGGGGAAUUUGAAAGGCAAAAGAAAGGCAUUGAGCUCAAGUGUUGAAAGAAAGAAAAAACAUGGGAAAAGAAAAAGAAGGAAAGAAAAAGCAUGAAAGAUGAGCUCAAUGUAAAAAUGAAAGAAAAGGGAAGAAGUUGGGAAUGAGUGAGAUUGGUUAAAAAGAGAGUUUGUGCUUGAACUUUGAAUGUUAAAAUAGCUCUCUUAACUCAAGGAUUUUGUGCUCCAGAAAAACCAAUUUUUCUUGUUAGCCCAGCAUCAUUAUAAACCUUGAAAAAGUCCUUGUGGUGACAUUUGUAUGUGAGAAUGUUGAUUGUGUUAGAUGAAGGGCAGUUUUGUUUCAGGUGACAUGUGAAUAGUAG
rnacentral:lncRNA from 1 species